rnacentral:rRNA from 1 species
GCCCUUACUCCUACGGGAGGCAGCAGUGGGGAAUAUUGCGCAAUGGGCGGAAGCCUGACGCAGCGACGCCGCGUGAGGGAUGACGGCCUUCGGGUUGUAAACCUCUUUCAGCUCCGACGAAUUUGACGGUAGGAGUAGAAGAAGCACCGGCCAACUACGUGCCAGCAGCCGCGGUAAUACGUAGGGUGCGAGCGUUGUCCGGAAUUAUUGGGCGUAAAGAGCUCGUAGGCGGUCUGUCGCGUCGAAUGUGAAAACCCGGGGCUCAACUCCGGGCUUGCAUUCGAUACGGGCAGGCUAGAGUUCGGUAGGGGAGUCUGGAAUUCCUGGUGUAGCGGUGAAAUGCGCAGAUAUCAGGAGGAACGCCUGUGGCGAAGGCGGGACUCUGGGCCGAUACUGACGCUGAGGAGCGAAAGCGUGGGGAGCGAACAGGAUUAGAUACCCUGGUAGUCCACGCCGUAAACGUUGGGCGCUAGGUGUGGGGGUCCUUCCACGAUCUCCGUGCCGCAGCUAACGCAUUAAGCGCCCCGCCUGGGGAGUACGGCCGCAAGGCUAAAACUCAAAUGAAUUGACG